rnacentral:tRNA from 1 species
GGGGAUUUGGCGCAGUGGUAGAGCACUUGCCUAGCAAGCGCAAGGCCCUGGGUUCGAUCCCCAGCUCCA